GUUUUUCCUUAUCAUCUUGGAUUUUCUUCUAAACCUAACUCCUUUACACAUAUUUGCACGCCUCAUCUCUAUUGUAGGAGUGAUGUCAAUUUACCCAUAAUCAUAGCCACAUAGCACACUUGAAUCUACAUUAGCCCGUAUUUAUUCCCCCUCUGCCCCUAGAUCUCAUUAUUCACAUCCUAAGUGGUCGUUCUCCUCGAUUCGGCUAUAUCGUCAUCAUCUCCAAGUCACUCGCUUCCAGUGAUCCAGUUGACACUUCCACUACAUCUGUAGAUAACUAUUCAUGCCAAUCGGCGUUGGUGAUGUUUGAAGAUAUAAAGACGCUUGUUGUUUCAAACAUAAUCUGUGUGCUUUUAUGUAUUUAAACAUUAAUUUCAUAUUGAUAGUAGUUUUGGUUCUUUUUUUUUUUCCUGAUCCGGUAAUAAUUUGAAUAUUACUUUUUCUUUUUGUAUAGUUGACAAUCCUUUCAUGUUGCAGGAGUAUUAGUAGAAUUAAGGGAAAGUGAUAGUGCUUAUAGAAGACUUCUCUUUGUAUAACGAUAUAUCAUGAAACACUAAUAUCUCUGAUAAAUAAAAUGGUUGAAAAUCUAUGUUUUAUUCUA